UACGUAGGGCGCAAGCGUUGUCCGGAAUCACUGGGCGUAAAGGGCGCGUAGGCGGCGCGGGUAGUCAUCGGUGAAAGUUCAGGGCUCAACUCUGAAUCGGCCGGUGAUACUCCCGUGCUCGAGCACUGUAGAGGCAGGUGGAAUUCCGGGUGUAGCGGUGGAAUGCGUAGAGAUCCGGAAGAACACCGGUGGCGAAGGCGGCCUGCUGGGCAGUAGCUGACGCUGAUGCGCGACAGCGUGGGGAGCAAACAGG
rnacentral:rRNA from 1 species